UACGUAGGGUGCGAGCGUUGUCCGGAAUUAUUGGGCGUAAAGGGCUCGUAGGCGGUUUGUCGCGUCGGGAGUGAAAUCCACUGGCUUAACUGGUGGCUUGCUUUCGAUACGGGCAGACUGGAGGUAUGCAGGGGGAGAACGGAAUUCCUGGUGUAGCGGUGAAAAUGCGCAGAUAUCAGGAGGAACACCGGUGGCGAAGGCGGGUCUCUGGGCAGUAACUGACGCUGAGGAGCGAAAGCGUGGGGAGCGAACAGG
rnacentral:rRNA from 1 species